rnacentral:rRNA from 1 species
UACGGAGGGGGCUAGCGUUGUUCGGAAUUACUGGGCGUAAAGCGCACGUAGGCGGCUUUGUAAGUUAGAGGUGAAAGCCCGGGGCUCAACUCCGGAAUUGCCUUUAAGACUGCAUCGCUAGAAUUGUGGAGAGGUAAGUGGAAUUCCGAGUGUAGAGGUGAAAUUCGUAGAUAUUCGGAAGAACACCAGUGGCGAAGGCGACUUACUGGACACAUAUUGACGCUGAGGUGCGAAAGCGUGGGAGCAACAGG